AGAGUGGUCCAUACUUCUCAUUGAUAACUCAAACUGCAGUGGAUCUAUGGAUUUUGCUGUCCCUCCAGUAGAUGCUGUCCCUCCAGUAGAUGCAUCAGUCUUUUUCCUGAUUUCUGUGCGUUUUACUGCUGCAAGCACAUUCAGUGACUAAAGGUGCUUAAUGUCUUGCUGCUGAGAGGUGGACCAUCGCCAAGGUUUGCUCAGAGAACACUUCUACCCACGGAGAAU